CUUGUAUAAUAGGAACUAGGAACUAAUUAGGUCGUUGGAUCUAAUUUAGAUGCACGCUUGAUGAGCGGCCCAAAUUAAUUCACAAUCAAGGCACUUUCUCUACUCCAUUGAAGCAAAUUUCGAGCUUUCUCCAUUGAAGCGAAUUUCGAGCUUUCUCUACUCCAUUGGAGCGGAUUUCGAGCUUUCUGUACUCCAUUGAAGCAACUUCUGAGGCAAGAGUAAAUAUUUUCCCUCUGUGAGCUUGUUUUGGUGGCUUGUUUAAAGGAUUGCCUAAGCCGGGUGGCAGAGUGACUAUCAGGGGAUGAGAUUUCAAUGUUUGCAAACUUAUGUUGGUCCUCUUGGACUAGCAGGAAUAACAUCAUUCAUGAGCCGUCAACACACAAUCCUAUAAUGCUAGCUACAGGUUUCACUAGGCUUGGAAGUAUCUCUGGACUUCUCCUAUGUAAGAAAGAUGUGGCUACUGAAGUUACAAUCCGGAGAGCUAUGGGCAUAAUUAGUGAGCAUGAGAAAGCUAUUAUUCAACAUGAUCGCAUGUUUCAUAUAGCUGCUAUACAGUGAUGGAAACCUCCUGAAAUUGGGGUGUUCAAGUUGAAUACCGAUGCAGCCUGCUUUAAGGAUAUUUCAUUUGGUCUGGGGGUGUUAUUCGUGACACUACAAGUGAUGUUCUGCUGGCUACUUGUUGCAGGUUGCAGGGCAAAUUUGCAAUUGAUGUUAGUGAGGCGCUGGCUGCUAGGAAUGCUUUGCAAAUCACAAUUGAAGCAGGUCUCAAUAGAAUUAUAUUGGAGACGGACAAUGCUAAACUAUACCAUCAUCUUAAGAGCAACAAACGAGAGAAAUGAGGUUGCUCACAUAUUAACACAUUUGAGUAAAUGUUAUGUUGAUCGUAGAGUGUGGAUCGUAGAGGUGCCCGAUGGUUUAUCGGAUGUAGUGGUUCUUGACAUUUUAAGUCUUCCUUAAUAAAUUUGCUUGUUUGAUUUGUGUCCAAAAAAAAAA